CCUACGGUAGGCAGCAGUGGGGAAUAUUGCGCAAUGGGCGAAAGCCUGACGCCGCGACGCCGCGUGAGGGAUGAAGGUCUUCGGAUCGUAAACCUCUUUCAGCAGGGAAGAACGGUCACUGUGCUAAUCAGCAGUGAAUUGACGGUACCUGCCAAGGAAGCACCGGCUAACUCCGUGCCAGCAGCCGCGUUAAUACGGAGGGUGCGAGCGUUAAUCGGCAUUACUGGGCGUAAAGCGCUCGUAGGCGGUAUGUCAAGUCAAGGGUGAAAUCCCCGCGCUCAACGUGGUAACUGCCUUUGAAACUGGGAAACUGGAGUGUGUGAGAGGAUAGUGGAAUUCCAGGUGUAGGAGUGAAAUCCGUAGAUAUCUGGAGGAACAUCAGUGGCGAAGGCGACUAUCUGGCACAUAACUGACGCUGAGGAGCGAAAGCGUGGGUAGCAAACAGGAUUAGAUACCCUAGUAGUC
rnacentral:rRNA from 1 species